GACUAGACGAAUUACCUGAAGCGAUUACACGUUGGUCUUGUUCGAAAAUCAUGGCGGAAAGCGAAAUUUCGGUUAUGUCUUCCGUGGCAUCGGCGGAGGAGUCUACUGUUGCUAGUGGACAGCAACGGG